rnacentral:rRNA from 1 species
CCCCUAGAUGUUCUGGGCCGCACGCGCGCUACACUGAACAGUUCAACAAGUCUUAACCUUGGCCGAUAGGUCUGGGUAAUCUUUGAACGCUGUUCGUGAUUGGGAUAGACCUUUGCAAUUAUGGGUCUUCAACGAGGAAUUCCUAGUAAACGCAAGUCAUCAGCUUGCAUUGAUUACGUCCCUGCCCUUUGUACACACCGCCCGUCGCACCUACCGAUUGAAUGGUCCGGUGAAAUCUCGGGACGGCGGCUUGGUCGCUUGCGUCCGACUGCUGAAACUUGAUUAAACCAUAUCAUUUAGAGGGAGGUGAAGUCGUANCA